rnacentral:rRNA from 1 species
GACGAACGCUGGCGGCGUGCCUAAUACAUGCAAGUAGAACGCUGAAGAGAGGAGCUUGCUCUUCUUGGAAGAGUUGCGAACGGGUGAGUAACGCGUAGGUAACCUGCCUUGUAGCGGGGGAUAACUAUUGGAAACGAUAGCUAAUACCGCAUAACAAUGGGUGACCCAUGUCAUUCAUUUGAAAGGGGCAACUGCUCCACUACAAGAUGGACCUGCGUUGUAUUAGCUAGUAGGUGAGGUAACGGCUCACCUAGGCGACGAUACAUAGCCGACCUGAGAGGGUGAUCGGCCACACUGGGACUGAGACACGGCCCAGACUCCUACGGGAGGCAGCAGUAGGGAAUCUUCGGCAAUGGGGGCAACCCUGACCGAGCAACGCCGCGUGAGUGAAGAAGGUUUUCGGAUCGUAAAGCUCUGUUGUAAGUCAAGAACGAGUGUGAGAGUGGAAAGUUCACACUGUGACGGUAGCUUACCAGAAAGGGACGGCUAACUACGUGCCAGCAGCCGCGGUAAUACGUAGGUCCCGAGCGUUGUCCGGAUUUAUUGGGCGUAAAGCGAGCGCAGGCGGUUUGAUAAGUCUGAAGUUAAAGGCUGUGGCUCAACCAUAGUUCGCUUUGGAAACUGUCAAACUUGAGUGCAGAAGGGGAGAGUGGAAUUCCAUGUGUAGCGGUGAAAUGCGUAGAUAUAUGGAGGAACACCGGUGGCGAAAGCGGCUCUCUGGUCUGUAACUGACGCUGAGGCUCGAAACGUGGGGAGCGAACAGG